rnacentral:rRNA from 1 species
UACGUAGGGUGCAAGCGUUGUCCGGAAUUAUUGGGCGUAAAGAGCUCGUAGGCGGUUUGUUGCGUCGGCUGUGAAAAUCCCGAGGCUCAACCUCGGGUCUGCAGUCGAUACGAGCAAACUAGAGUGUUGCAGGGGAGACUGGAAUUCCUGGUGUAGCGGUGAAAUGCGCAGAUAUCAGGAGGAACACCGGUGGCGAAGGCGGGUCUCUGGGCAAUUGCUGACACUCAGGCACGAAAGCGUGGGGAGCAAAAGGG